AUCUGGGAAGCUUGAUUGACAAGGUUAUAAUGUUGUCAAAUAUUAUUACGUAUGUGUUUCUUAUGCUGGAUGGUGUUUCUGUUCGAAUAGAUAAUUUGUUUUCUGUCCCUCUCUAACUUUUAAAAGUCAUUAAUCCUCUGUUAGUGUCAAGAAGACGGCUGAUCAAAGUUUACUGUUUGCAAUGUCAUGCUUUAAUGCGUCUGCUCAUAAGAAACAAUGAAGUGAAAUGUGAUCGUAUGUGAUGUUAUAAACAGUUUAAUCAUAGUGAGUGAGUAAAUUAGAUCUAGCUCGCUUUUAAUAUCAAGUUGAGUUAAAUUCGCUGCCAGUCGAUGUGCGGCAUCGGGUUACAGCAUUGGCUGUAACUUUCCUCUUGGCUCACGCCCACACGGGAUGGUUUAAAAGAGCCCGGGAGUCUUUGCUCGGUCUUCAGUUUUUCUUCAGUUUUGUCUUCUCUUCAGUUUUUUCUUCUCUUCAGUUUUUUCUUCUCUUCAGUUUUGUCUUCUCUUCAGUUUUUGUCUCUUCCGUUUUUGUCUUCGUCUAGUUUUCUUUUGUCUUCGCCUAGCGUUCGCAAUUUUCCCCGCGUUUUAUUAAUUGCCUUAAGCUCAGAUUUUUAUUCUAAACUUGGAUGAAAGCAUUCCCAAGUCCUUUAGAGCCUCAGUAACAAGCUGCGCGCAUAAGAGAACCUCAGUCUAAGUCUUUGUAUUUUUGUUCGCUAAAGUGACUCCUGAAGAUAAUAUCGGCUGGCCAGCGAAAUUAUUUUCUUAAGUUAUUGGCGCGAAUUAAUCUGCAACCAAUUGAUCCAUUCCAUUGAUCCGAUCCAUUCCAAGGGUGCCGCUGAGAACCGACGUCCAAAGUAGGCUAAAUCCUCUGAACUGCUGUGAUGAGAACUGGGUGAUGCCGUCAACCGUUCAGUAGCUUACUCUUAUAAAUUAUAGUUUAGUUCUCCAAAUUCCUUUUAUUUACCCUCGUAACUCCGUUAACGUAGGUUAAAUUUCCCCUUUAUUCACUCACUAUUAUUAACCUCCAGUCUUAGGUUUAAUUUAAACCAUUCCUUCGUUUAUUCAUUAGAUGUGCUUUGAUUUGCUCAUUAUUUGAUCAUCAUUUAUUGACAUUUUGUUAUCAUAUAGCUUGUUAAUAAAUUGUCCAUUUAAUUCUAAGUUGUCGUCUUAGUGGUCUUUCAGAAAGUAGUCCCUGAAUGAAGAAUUCCGGCCUCAGAUGAGAGACUGAUUUAAAUCUGUGUAAGACUGAUCCAACGUUUAAUUACUCAAUUGAACUUUGUUUCGUCCUUUUUCCCACCAGAAAGGUGGGUGGUGCCCCUUCAACGAGUGCAUAAAUGUCAUAAUUUAAUUUGAUUAAUUUUCGACAUUUAUUUUGAAUUUAAAAUCGCUACAAUG